GGCCGUAGGUGUGGCAUAUGGAAGAUCCCAGGCUAGGGGACUAAUCGGAGCUACAGCUGCCGGCCACACAAUGCCAGAUCCAAGCUGGGGCUGUGACCUACAGUAUAGCUCAUGGCAAUGCCGGAUCCUUAACCCAUUGAGAGGGGGCAGGGAUCAAACCCGUGUCCUCCUGGAUACAAGUCGGGUUCAUUUCCACUGACCCACAACCAGAACUCCUCUGCCGUUUUUAAUGUUUCUUAGCAUUUCCCCCUAUCUCUGCUGUGUCAUUUAAAGUUGUGCCAUACCAUACUCCUGUGUUUUUGUGUAUGUGGGGUUUGUUUUUGUUUUGGGGAGAUUUGUCUUUGAGUCCAGUUCUCUCUUUUCUUGAGGCUGUCCUCUUAAACUUCCCAAACAAGAGACGUGGAAAUCUUGUUCCUGUUCUCAUCCUUUAUGUGAGUGCAGGCAGCACAGCUGGGUUGCAGCCGGUGCUGCCUGGGUGCUGUUAGGCUGGCUGUGUUCCAGAACCUCGGUGUGAAUGUGUCACUCUUGUCCUUUCACGUUAAGCCUGGCUAGUAGAUGAAGCUGAAGACAGUGUUCAGAAGUUCAAGCUCCUCUGAGCACAGAUCCCCAUCUCACAGUCACACAUGAUUUUGAGGAGUGCCAUAUACAUGGAGAACUUACACUACCACAUGGCCCAGUCUUCAACUGACAUUUCUCUAUUUUUUCUCCAGCAGGUAUGAACUAAACCCUGUACUAAUUAUCCAAACUGAAAUAUUUCCCUUGUAUAAAGGAACUCCGAUGAACCUAACACAAAAAGAAUCAUCACUUUAGCCAUGCCUUUAAAAAAUUGUGAAGAAUUUGCCUACUUGCACGCUAACAAAUAAGCAUGUCAUAGCUUCACGGAUGCCAGUUCACAGAAUGAGAUUCCUAGGUCAGAGACAAAGGAUGCAAUACUCACAGAAAAAGCAGUAGCAUUAGUAUCAGCAUGCUUCUGUCAGUUCUGUGAAGCCCAAUUCUCAUCCUAUGACUGAAAGAGGGUAGACAAUACCUACACAUUCAAUGAUUUGCAUUAGAGAAGGGGAACCAUGAGCCUAGAUACCCAAAUCUUUUACAGUGGACAGUAAACCUACCUUCCCUUUGCUCCAUAGAGGAAGGCUACCUCUAUAUUCCAUGGCUAUAUGCUACACAAAUGUCUUUGAAAAGAAAGUCUACAUUGAAAAUAGUCAGUGCCUCUGCUCACAAGAUGUGCAGAAACCUGAGUGACUAAUUGAAAGUUAACUCCUAACAGUGUAGGUUCAUACAUAUCUCUGAAAUCCACUCAUCUCCCUCUCUUGUUAAAGACCCUGCUUCUAGAGAUAUUUAUUUCUUGCUAAGACCACUGCAAAAGUUUCCUAAAUGGUUAUCACUACAGCCUCUUCCUAGGCAUUUUCUAUACAGUAGCCAGAAUGUACCUUGUAAACACAAAUCUAACCAUGUCACUUGUUUCACCUCUGUUGUCAUCCACUGCUAAGGGAUUAAGCCAACCCUCCUUAGCAAGUCCCACAAAGCCCUGAAUGACAUGGUUCUGUCCCUGCCUGUGAACACUUCCCUUGCCUCUUCUUCUAAGAUGCCUCUCUUUAGCCACACUUUUCGUUUAAUAAAAUGUAGAGUUCACAAAGUUGUGGCCCUGGGGUGAAUACCAACUACAAAAUGUGUCUGGUUUGGCCCACACACUAGUUUAAAAAACAUUUGGGCCAUUUCACAUUUAUGAAAUACGAAUUUUAAGCUCCUCUUUAAAAAUCAUGGCAUCUGGCAACACUUGGCCUGCAUCCCAACCUGACAACACUUGGCUGGAACUGAGUAUCUACUGUUCCCUUUAGACAAAGCUUGGGUUCUCUGGUUGCCACACCUCUCUCUCCUGCUCUCCUUACUUAUUUGUUUGCAUUAUCUACCUAACUUCCAUUAUAAGCAUCAUAUUCUGUUCCUCUUGGUCUGGAACAUUCUUCAAUCCUCCAACUUCUUCAGUUGCUAUUACUCAUUCUUCAAGUCUGAGUGUACUCACUGGGAAGUUUUCCCUGAACACCAUCACCCCCUAAUUUGGAUGAAGUGAUACCUUGUAGGACACCCACACAUCCACCAUCCCCUGCUGCCUACCUUCUGUGGUUCUCUGCAUUACUCCACACACAAAUCGCAUAUGAUUAUAAUUUUCUAUUUACAAGUCUGAUCCUUUCCCAGACUUCUAGGUCAUAAGAGGGUGACUAUGACUGUCUCGUAACCCAUUGUACGCCAGUGCCUAGGAAAAGGCCCAACACUUAGUAGGAGCUCUGUAAGUACUGAGUAAAUAAACUGAAAAGUCAUUAAAAAUGGCAUUCAAAAUAUCGAGGGUGGUGGUGUAUUUCUAUUUUUAUGUACUUAGCGAUUUUUAAAAUUUGAACUCUUUAAUUAUCAUUCCCUUACCCCCAGAAAACUGAAAUAACUACUUGAGUAAUAGGUAGGUAAUGAGUAACAGUCAAUGGGCUAAGCACUUCACAUGGAUUAGUUCAUUUAAUCCUUACGACAGUCCUUUGAGCCAAGUACUUCCUUCAUUCCCAUUUUUGAGAUGAAGAAACUAGGGACUUGGGAGAUUGAGUAACUCAACCAAGGUUACAUAACUAGUAAAUGCCUGGCAGGACUCAAACCCAGACCCAUCAGAACCCAAAGCCAAUAUACACAAUUUGUAAAUGUGAGAUUUUUUAACGUGCCCUAGAUGAUAAGAAAGCACACAGGGUAAGGAGAAACCACAGAACUAUUUACCAGGCAGUUGAAAUUAUAGUUCUACUCCUGCUUCUAUCUGUUCAACAUUGGAUAAGAUGAAGGUCUUAUUCUCUAAAGUAGAUUGUAGGAGAUAAGAUGAUGGAAACUUCUCUCAGGAAAACUGACAGCACAGACACCACCAACUUUAUUCAGAGCCCUUCUUUUCAGCUAUUUGUAUGUGGUUUCCACAACUAGCUUUUACUGCUGCCCCUCAACCUGUCUUGCCUCAUGGGGUAAGCUGAAUUAAGCUCUCAAGGCCAAGUAUUGGUAUUUACAGCCUAAGAAAUUCUACACAUACCAGCAGAUGGAUGAAUUCUUUCUUGAAGUAGAAAAAGAAUCAGAAAUGUCACCAAGUCACACCAAAUACAAUCCAGUUUGGUCAAUCAUUUCCAAGUGGGAUUCUCGCCAAAUUUUUGCACCAAGCCAAAUUUUUAAAAAUGGUUUUCAAAAAAUGUCUCACUAAGGAUAUUGUAACUUUUUAAGCCAAUUUCCAGAAUCAAUCUGGGGCUCACUAGGCCAUUAAGUGUUCAAGUUUCAUCUUUUUAAAAAUAUUACAUUCAAUCUCUGCAUCUUUUCCAGGCAUUAUAAUAAAAAUUUCUUUCUCAAGGAGUUGAGAAAAAAAUUGUGUUGACACCAUAAAUUUGACUUACUGAUAUUAGAAUUGAAAUUUCUACAGCUUUUAACAUUUCAUCGCUACAUCAUGGACGAUUUUCUGAGCUUUCAUUCUAAAAACACAGAAUUUAGGAGUUCUAAUUAUGACAGUAACCCCACUAGGAUCCAUGAGGAUGCACGUUUGAUCCCUGGCCUCACUCAGUGGGUUAUGGAUCUGGAAUUGCAGUGAGCUGCGGGUGUAGGUCACAGACUCCACUCGGAUCUGGUGUUGCUAUGGCUGUGGUGUAGGCCAGCAGCUGCAGCUCAGAUUUGACCCCUAGCCUGGGAACUUCCAUAUGCUGCAGGUUCAGCCCUAAAAAGCAAAUAAUUAUUUGUUCCAAUCUAUUAAGUACAUUCACCAAAUAAUCACCUUAAAGGGCCUUCAGUAAAUGUAUUCUUGACACCAUUUUACUUUGCCAUAUACAAUCAUUUGAAUAUAUGUGAUGUAUAAAUAAAAAUAUGAAAUAAAAAGAUUACUCUCCAAGAUAGAUUGGAAGUCCCUCUAGGUCAAGGAAUGUAUUCUACAUCUGUCUUUUAAAAGCACAUAGCACAAUGCAUUGCACAAUACAGGAACUUAUGAAUUGCCUAUUAAAUCAGCAAUUCAUGAAUGACAGGCCAUAGCUAUUUAACUUCAAAUCUAAAGCUGACUUUCUUAGUCUAUUUAUUUGCUUUCUUCAUAAAGUGCACAGAGUGGGGCUAACAAUGCUUCUUGUGCCUGUGAUUGUAAACUGAAAAUUUACAAAAAAUAGAGCACAUAUAGUUUGAGCUAAAUGUCUGAACUUAUUUUACUAAAAUAAAACAGUUCUACUUUCUGAACUGUUAAAAUUAAAAGCAAAUUUAAAUUUGCACUGGAGUUCCUGCUGUGGCCCAGUGGAAACUAAUCCAACUAGUAACCAUGAGGUUGCAGGUUGGAUUCCUGGCCUAGCUCAGUGGGUUAAGGAUCCUUGGAUCCCUGGCCUAGCUCAGUGGGUUAAGGAUCUGGCAUUGCCUGAGCUGUGGUGUAGGUUGCGGACAGACCUCGGAUCCUGCACUGCUGCGGCUUAGGCCAGAGGCUGCAGCUCUGAUUCCACCCCUAACCUGGAAACCUCCAUAUGCCGCGGGCACGGCCAUGUAAAAAAAAAGUUCUUAUUUCCAAAGACUUGUGCCAAUAACGAUCUUUUGCUAUUUGAAAUCCUGUGACCACAGAAAUAGGAAAGGUCCAUAGCUUUGUACAUCGGGUUGGGUGAGGAAGAGACGAUUUCAACUCUGAAUAUUAAUAAUCAGAUCCAGAAAUACAAACAAAGCUAUUGGCCAAAUCAUCUAAAGAGACAUAAUUAUGUCUCACACGAAGGACCACAACUCAGAGAAUUAGAACACUGGACAUGCCGUCAGGCACCUUUAUGAGACCAGAUACAAUGGCUCAAAAUUAAGUAAUACACUGAGAUCAUCCCACCGGAUCGUCACAAGGACCCUCAGCGGUGGGAAAAGCAGACCCGCAUUUCACAGAUGAGAACGUAAGGUGUCCAAAAGGAUCGGGUACAAAGGCUACACCCAACAAAGGUUGGGUGGCUGAAAGCAGGCUUAAAUUCCCAUUUUCCAAGUAUCUAAGUAAUGGAUACUUUCCAUCUGGCCUCUGCGAUCGCCCUUUGCCGGCGUACAGGGCCGGCAAAACUGCAGGGAGGAGAGCAGAGCUGGGCAAGGACGCGAGAGAAGAGGAGAGGGAAUUUCCAUAGCUGCCCGGCACUCGCUGAUAAUCACCUCGGGUCGCUACUUGGCUCCAGCCCUUCUGCCCUCCCAGCGGCCCCAGCUUGCACCCCAAACUUGUCUCAGGGGAGGGCGGGAACCGGGGAGCCUUUCUCCACAGUACGGAGAGUUCCCCAAAUUGAGAAAAGAAACGGCGAAUGAAGAAUUUUACCCACAGGAUGAGGCGCAAGGAGAAGUGCGAAGGUGAGGACAGGACGGGAGGCUGACCCCUCACUACUAGCCAAGGCUGUGGCGGUGCCAAGGGGGACUCAGAAAGAUAGACUAGAAGUUCCCGAGACCCUCCCUGGCCGCGGCUCUGGAGCCCGCGCGACCCCAGCUUCCCGGGAGGAAAUCAACCACCGCCUCGGGCGCCGAGAAGCGGAGGGAGCUGAGGCAGCACGAUCCCCCGUCCCGGCCCAGCAUCAGCCCAACUUCCUUAGCCCCCUUCCCGGCUCCCACCCUCACCCUUGCCUUGACCGCCCGCGGGUUGCGGCAGCGGUGGCGGCCACGGCGGCCGCGGUACUAACCUGCGCAG
ensembl:lncRNA